rnacentral:ncRNA from 1 species
GGACUGGGACUGUUAUAGCUUCGAUAAUAUGCAAAAGCUGCCUCGUUCUGCGGUGACGCAGAAUCGGUCAAAACAUGGCUAUAUGCUGGAAACCCUUUUGCUAGGGCAAUCAGCAGGGAAGUCCUUAUAUUUACAAUGGACCCCCCAGAGACUAAACGCCGUGCCCCCGUCGUGUGACGGGGUGAAGAUAUAGUCCAAGGCAUAAGGAAGCCUAGAG